rnacentral:sRNA from 1 species
AAGGCCACGUCGCUAUGCCUGUGUUUCAGUCUACCUGGAUUAAACGUUUGCUUCUCUUCGUCUACCUUGAUUAAACGUGCACUUCGCAGUCCUCGGUUCUCCAUACCCGUGACCUGGGGAUCGCUACGGACCUUAAAAUACCCGCGACAGCCUCUUCGUCCCAAAGUCAAGAACAGAGCCAGGUGGUUCUUCUCUUCUAAAGACAUUUCCAUGGGCCAGUUUCACCGCAAGCUUCCCAGAGAGCAUAUGUUCUGCCGUACGGACACCGAACUUCCCCUAAGAUGGCCGCCCCCACGGUUCUCUCACCUAACCGCUCUGGCUCGGUUACCUGCAACGCACCGCUCGCUUAUUUUUCUAGUCCCGCUUGCUUCAGUUUUUAUACGGCUUCUAAAACGCUUCGCAUUUACAAUAGUGUUUGAUGUGCCCAGAGGUGACUUUAAUUUUCCAUUGAGCUGAGACGUCACAGCCAUCAUGACCGCUAAGAAGGGAUGCCGCGCCUUUGCGGUAAUAAUGGGUUCUGGCCUUUGAGAAGUUUGCGCCGUUUGCUAUCCCCUGCAAGGAGAAGACCAACUUAUUUCUGUUCCCUGUCUGUUCAGAGGACUUUACCCCCACGCCCUAUCUGCCUGUGUGAACUCAAGCCUCUGUUAAGCUCUCCAUUUUCUGCCAGGGCUGAGGUGUCUGGAAAUCGGACAGUUAAAGAGGCCUCUGUCCACCGCGUCUGGCAGCCGCUGUGCCUUCUGUACGUCACGUACUCAAAGAUGGCCGCCCCCGGAGCGGCGAGGCGACGCAGGCUCGGACGCGUCUCCUCCUGAGGAAAAGCCGGAAGGCCGCAUUCCGCUCUCCAUGGAAACGCGGCUG